AGACAGUAGAAUUGUAUCCCAAACAGUUCAUUUAUAUUGUUUUCGUCACAUAUUUAGGCUUUUAAAAUAAUUUCUUUCCUUAGGAAAACAUUUUAUUUAGAAAGUUAACUCAUCCAUGUGCAAUCCGACCGCGAGGAAUAACAAAUCAUUGGGGCACUGGUGACUAGGAAAUAUUCUGAGAACUUCAUGUUAUACAUAUUUAUU